CAUUAUUGAAAAUAAACCUGAUGAGUUGCUGCUGGCUCUCUAGGGAGUAUUGUGCACACUUGUCAUCUUUAUAUCUCCACCUGUGCACCUUUUGUAGACCUGGAUAUCUCUCUGAGUGCUUAGCACUUCAGGUUUGAGGAUUGACUUUAUUGUUCUCUCUUUAUAUUUCCAGGCCUAUGUUUCUUCAUAUACACAUUGUAUGUUAUAGAAUGUAGUAAUUAGGCCUUUGUGCCUAUAAACCUAUACAACUUUCAGCAACGGAUCUCUUGGCUCUCGCAUCGAUGAAGAACGCAGCGAAAUGCGUUAAGUAAUGUGAAUUGCAGAAUUCAGUGAAUCAUCGAAUCUUUGAACGCACCUUGCGCUCCUUGGUAUUCCGAGGAGCAUGCCUGUUUGAGUGUCAUUAAUAUAUCAACCUCUUCAACUUUUGUUGAGUGUUNGGAUGUGGGGGUUUUUUGCUGGCCUCUCUGAGUUCAGCUYCCCUGAAAUACAUUAGCGGAACAAUUUGUUCAUUGGCGUGAUAAUCUAUCUAUGCUAUUGACAUGAAGCAGUUCAGCUUAUAACAGUCCAUUGAAUUGGACAAAUUUUUAUCUAUUAAUGUGACCUCAAAUC
rnacentral:rRNA from 1 species